rnacentral:tRNA from 1 species
GUAGAUAUAGUUUAAACAAAACAUUAGACUGUGAAUCUAAAAAUAGGAAAUAGUUAACCCUUAUUANC